ensembl:lncRNA
CGCACACACAGCCAUCCUCAGCUCAACCCCCUCCCGGGCCCCUCCUGGGCAAGCAGGGAUGCGGCAGGGGCAGGGAGGGUGAGGAACUCACCUUGUCUCCGCAAAUGGCCCAGUUUCUGAAAGACUCAAAGUAAUGCCAAGAACUUCCAGGUGAAGGAGACCUUCAUAGACCUGUAACUGGAUUAGCCACUUCUUGAAUUGCAAGAGGAAGUUACAACUAAUUCUCAGGAUCAAAGUCAAAACAAGCCUGUGACUCCAUGAAUACUGAAGGCAACCACGGUAGAUCCCAGAGACCAAAGCCCCAGUGAGCAAGAGGGGCCAGCUUCUUCCCACCUCCGGCCACCAGCCUGUGCUGCCUACAUACGGCCUCCUCUGCUGUAGAACCCAUGGGGAAGCAGCGCACACAAUGGCGUGCGUGUUCCCGGCUUCUGGCUGCUCUGGGCACCCUCAAGGAAGCGUGGAGCAGGGAGGCCUCGAGCAACUUCGAGGCCUUGGUGCCUUCCCUUUGCCCCCCGGAACACUUGAGAGGCAGGAGCUAGGGUGGAGAUUUCUUACCCCACCCAACUUCCUCUUGCAAGUACCGCUGCAACUCUUCCCCAAGAAGAGAGGCCCCCGGCCCUGGGCGCCGUCGGCGGCCGGCGCCCCUCCCCCUUCUUUCUCUGCUUCUCUGAGACCCAGGGAGGGAGGAGGCAGGCGCCUCUGCAGAUAGAGCAGCUAUUGUGACCUUCCCUCGCAGAGCGGGAACCCAGCCGAGUGUGUACUGCCGAGUGUGUACUGCCGGCGGUGGCGGGGGAGGAGGCGACUGUGUGCAAACCUUGGCUUGGGAGGGGGUGGCACUGGGAAAUAAAGGUUUGCAACCUUGGGCAGUUGGG